ACAGUUAGCUUAAGGUACGUGCUAAUCCCUUGGGAUAACCAAGCUUUAGUAAUAAGACUCGACAGGUCAAGGCACUAAAGGGCAGCUGGAGCAAUCUAACUGCUAGUAAGUUUACUUUUCAAAAUGUGAACCUUUAAUUGCUGUGAUGCCCUUAGAUGUUCUAGGCCGCACGCGCGCUACACUGACAGAGCUAACGAGUUCUUCACCUUAGCCGAAAGGUCUGGGUAAUCUUGUGAAACUCU
rnacentral:rRNA from 1 species